rnacentral:lncRNA from 1 species
UCACAACCCACGACCAUGCAUGUCGUGCAGAUUAGGUUAACGAACAAAUUGAACCAACACCUAAAAGGGGCACUUUAGAAAUUUCAAAAUGUACCAGUGAAAACGAGUUCCAGUACUAAAAAUGUGACGCUUAUAUAUGUCACUUGUCUCUGUAAACAUUCUUUUCAGUAAGGCACGCAUGGAGACACUGCAAACCUUGAAAUGUAAGGAACAUAACGAAAAUGAGCACAACGUGUACAGGUAGGUUGUCAACUUGACGUGCAACAAGACCAUUCCGUUAGCAUUUCCAUUCAUUCCAAGUCUAAUCCAAGCAAUCUGAAAUCGAAUCUUCUUUUGUGCAAUGUGAAAUCUAUUCCUUUUCUCCCCC